GUAGGUGAACCUGCGGAAGGAUCAUUAAUAAUAAGUGAUUUAUGACACUUUUUUAAAUCCAUAUCACCCUUGUGUGCAAUGUCAGGGAUGGUAUCUAUUGAUCAGCCCCAAACAGAAACUAUUAUAUCAACUCUUUGACUGAAAAAUAUUAUGAAUAAAACAAUUCAAAAUACAACUUUCAACAACGGAUCUCUUGGCUCUC
rnacentral:misc_RNA from 1 species